AGGCGACGACGGGUAGCCGGCCUGAGAGGGCGACCGGCCACACUGGGACUGAGACACGGCCCAGACUCCUACGGGAGGCAGCAGUGGGGAAUAUUGCACAAUGGGCGAAAGCCUGAUGCAGCGACGCCGCGUGAGGGAUGACGGCCUUCGGGUUGUAAACCUCUUUCAGCAGGGAAGAAGCGAAAGUGACGGUACCUGCAGAAGAAGCGCCGGCUAACUACGUGCCAGCAGCCGCGGUAAUACGUAGGGCGCAAGCGUUGUCCGGAAUUAUUGGGCGUAAAGAGCUCGUAGGCGGCUUGUCACGUCGGAUGUGAAAGCCCGGGGCUUAACCCCGGGUCUGCAUUCGAUACGGGCAGGCUAGAGUGUGGUAGGGGAGAUCGGAAUUCCUGGUGUAGCGGUGAAAUGCGCAGAUAUCAGGAGGAACACCGGUGGCGAAGGCGGAUCUCUGGGCCAUUACUGACGCUGAGGAGCGAAAGCGUGGGGAGCGAACAGGAUUAGAUACCCUGGUAGU
rnacentral:rRNA from 1 species